rnacentral:rRNA from 1 species
GAUGAACGCUGGCGGCGUGCCUAAUACAUGCAAGUCGAGCGAACAGACGAGGAGCUUGCUCCUCUGACGUUAGCGGCGGACGGGUGAGUAACACGUGGAUAACCUACCUAUAAGACUGGGAUAACUUCGGGAAACCGGAGCUAAUACCGGAUAAUAUAUUGAACCGCAUGGUUCAAUAGUGAAAGACGGUUUUGCUGGCACUUAUAGAUGGAUCCGCGCCGCAUUAGCUAGUUGGUAAGGUAACGGCUUACCAAGGCGACGAUGCGUAGCCGACCUGAGAGGGGGAUCGGCCACACUGGAACUGAGACACGGUCCAGACUCCUACGGGAGGCAGCAGUAGGGAAUCUUCCGCAGUGGGCGAAAGCCUGACGGAGCAACGCCGCGUGAGUGAUGAAGGUCUUCGGAUCGUAAAACUCUGUUAUUAGGGAAGAACAAAUGUGUAAGUAACUAUGCACGUCUUGACGGUACCUAAUCAGAAAGCCACGGCUAACUACGUG